UGGCGAUGAGGAGAUAAUGACUAUUGAACCUGGUGAUAGUUUUAUACGCUAUUCUGAGCCAACA